UAAAACCCUUUAAAAUCUCUUG
rnacentral:siRNA from 1 species